GUGGGGAAUAUUGGACAAUGGGGGGAACCCUGAUCCAGCCAUGCCGCGUGUGUGAAGAAGGCCUUUUGGUUGUAAAGCACUUUAAGCGAGGAGGAGGCUACCGAGAUUAAUACUCUUGGAUAGUGGACGUUACUCGCAGAAUAAGCACCGGCUAACUCUGUGCCAGCAGCCGCGGUAAUACAGAGGGUGCAAGCGUUAAUCGGAUUUACUGGGCGUAAAGCGCGCGUAGGUGGCCAAUUAAGUCAAAUGUGAAAGCCCCGAGCUUAGCUGGGGAAUUGCAGUCGAUACUGGUUGGCUAGAGUAUGGGAGAGGAUGGUAGAAUUCCAGGUGUAGCGGUGAAAUGCGUAGAGAUCUGGAGGAAUACCGAUGGCGAAGGCAGCCAUCUGGCCUAAUACUGACACUGAGGUGCGAAAGCAUGGGGAGCAAACAGGAUUAGAAACCCCUGUAGUCC
rnacentral:rRNA from 1 species